rnacentral:rRNA from 1 species
GCAAGUCGAACGAGAAAGGGAUUGCUUGCAAUCCUGAGUAGAGUGGCGCACGGGUGAGUAACACGUAGAUAAUCUACCCUCAAGCCUGGGAUAACUAUUCGAAAGGAUAGCUAAUACCGGAUGAAGUUAAAUUACAUAAGUGAUUUGAUGAAAGAUUGCCUCUUCAUGAAAGCAAUUGGUUGGGGAUGAGUAUGCGGACCAUUAGCUAGUUGGUGAGGUAAAAGCCUACCAAGACUACGAUGGUUAGGUGGUCUGAGAGGAUGAUC